CUGCAUGCAAAGCAGCGUGGCCAGAAGGUCAAAGGAGGUGAUUCUCCUCUCCUCCACUCUGGUGAGACCCCACCUGCAGUGCUGCAUCCAGAUCUGGUGACCUCAACAGAAGAAGGACAUGGAGCUGUUGGAGCAAGUCUAGAGGAGGUCACAAAGUUGAUAGGAAGACUGGAGCACCUUGCUUAGGAAGACAGGCUGAGAAUGUUGGAGCUGUUCCUUGAGGAGAAGAGAAGGUUGUGGAGAGACCUCAUAGCAACCUUCCAGUAUCUGAAGGGGGGCUGAAGAGAAGCCUGAAGAGAGGGACUCUUCCUCAGGAACUGCAGUGAUAGUACAAGGAAUAAUGGGUACAAAUUGAAAGAGAGGAAAUUUAGGAUGGUAAAAUACUGGCACGGGUUGCCCAGGGUGGUUUUGGAUGCCCCAUCUCUGUUAGUGUUCAAAGCCAGGUUGAAUGGGGCUUUGAGUAACUUGGUCUAGUGGGAGAUGUCUAAGCAUGUGGAACUUCAUCUUUAAGGUCCAUUCCAACCCUUCACAUUUUAUGACUCAAUGAAAAUAAUACCUUAGUGUGCACAAAUCUAUCACCACCCUACAAGAAAAAUAAUUUCAUGCACUUUUUAACCUACAGGAAAGUCUACAAGAACCAUAAUAUAGUAGUAAACCUCUAUCUUGUAUUUGUAGAUGUUUUGUUGUUGUUGCUCUUAGGACAGCUCUUGGGAAAAUGACAGCCCUGCUGGCAAAGGGAAAAAGGACAGAGCUGCGCUACUAAUACAUCAUUUCAAAUUGAUGGGGACAACUAAAGGAGCUGCUGUGAAAUCAAGCUAUCCUCAACAAUGGGGUUCUCAAUACCAGAACUCAUCCCAAAAAUAAUAAAAUAUAUAAGACCGAAAGAAAA